AAGAAGUGUUCUAAUUACACACUUUGUUGUCAGAAACUUUGUUGUUACAGGUAGAAAUAAAAUAGGGGAUAAUGCUAUGUGCUUCAGAAACUCACAAAAUAUAUCCACUGAUCUUCUUCUUGCUUUCAAGUAUGGUGUGAUGUAGUUCAUGUCUAAUUCCAUUGCUGUAAAGGAAUACCUGAGGCUGGGUAAUUUAUAAAGAAAAGAAUUUAUUUAUCUUAGGGUUCUGCAGGAUAUACACGAAGUAUGGCACCAACAUCUGCUUCUGGUGAAGGCUUCAUGAAGCUUCCACCCAUGACAGAAGGCGAAGAACUGUUGCCAGCAUCAUGCUACAAGCCUGAAGGGAAGGUCUACUGACAGAGAAGGACAGAGACCAGGGAAACACAGAAAAGGAGAGACAAAGCCUUGACAUACCAAACCAGUGCCUGGCCUACCUAUGGACUUCUCAAUUCCUUCAAUUAGAGUGCCUCUGAAAGACAGGGUGUAUUCCAGCUGGCAUUGGGACAACCUAAAGUUUAAACCUUUGGGUGAAAAAGUGCCAACUUGGGAGACAUAUUAUCAAGACUGAAUCAGAGAGUUGACAGCAUACCAGGAAGUGUCACUGUAUAGUUUGGAAGAUGGAAAUCAUACUACUUUUUUCCCAUGGAAUACGUCAAUGUUCAAAGGCUGAUAUUCAACCAGUUUAUUUCCUGCAACUGAAGAAGUACAAUGCCCUCCUGCUUAUCUGGCCUCAUUUUCUUUGCUUUGGAGAUGUAUGUUGGAAAACAAACUGAUGUAUUUUUCACAGUUGCAAAUAAA
rnacentral:lncRNA from 1 species